GUUGUAUGGUUAAGUGACUAAGCGUACACGGUGGAUGCCUUGGCAGUCAGAGGCGAUGAAGGACGUAUUAACUUGCGAUAAGCCCAGAUUAGACAGUAAAAGUCAUUUGAGUCUGGGAUUUCCGAAUGGGGAAACCCACUUACAUAAGUAAGUAUCUUGUUGUGAAUACAUAGCAGCAAGAGGCAAACCGGGGGAACUGAAACAUCUAAGUACCCCGAGG
rnacentral:rRNA from 1 species